rnacentral:rRNA from 1 species
GAUGAACGCUAGCUACAGGCUUAACACAUGCAAGUCGAGGGGAAACGGCAUUAAGUGCUUGCACUUUUUGGACGUCGACCGGCGCACGGGUGAGUAACGCGUAUCCAACCUUCCCAUGACUAAGGGAUAACCUGCCGAAAGGCAGACUAAUACCUUAUGGUCUUCACUGACGGCAUCAGAUGUGAAGUAAAGAUUUAUCGGUUAUGGAUGGGGAUGCGUCUGAUUAGUUAGUUGGCGGGGUAACGGCCCACCAAGGCAACGAUCAGUAGGGGUUCUGAGAGGAAGGUCCCCCACAUUGGAACUGAGACACGGUCCAAACCCCUACGGGAGGCAGCAGUGAGGAAUAUUGGUCAAUGGGCGAGAGCCUGAACCAGCCAAGUAGCGUGCAGGAUGACGGCCCUAUGGGUUGUAAACUGCUUUUGUAUGGGGAUAAAGUCAAUCACGUGUGAUUGUUUGCAGGUACCAUACGAAUAAGGACCGGCUAAUUCCGUGCCAGCAGCCGCGGUAAUACGGAAGGUCCGGGCGUUAUCCGGAUUUAUUGGGAUUAAAGGGAGCGUAGGCUGGAGAUUAAGUGUGUUGUGAAAUGUAGACGCUCAACGUCUGACUUGCAGCGCAUACUGGUUUCCUUGAGUACGCACAACGUUGGCGGAAUUCGUCGUGUAGCGGUGAAAUGCUUAGAUAUGACGAAGAACUCCGAUUGCGAAGGCAGCUGACGGGAGCGCAACUGACGCUGAAGCUCGAAGGUGCGGGUAUCGAACAGG